CUCUGAGUUUAAACGAAUUCAAUUUCCGGUUCGUCUUGCAUUCACCAUGAUGAUUAACAAAUAACAAGAACAAUCCUUGAGUGUUUGUGGUCUGAAUUUAGAAAAUGCAUGUUUUUCUUAUGAACAAUUGUACGUGGCAUGUUCACGUGUCGGCAAACCAAGUAUACCCCAUACAGCAAAAUACGUAACUUCAUCAAAUGUAAGGAGACCGUGAUCACCACCAAGAGAGUUCAGUCAGCUCAAGACAACGCAGAGUAUAACAGCAUCACUACCGACGCACGAGAAGGAGGAGCAAUGUCACCUCCACUCCAACCCGUUCAGUCAUUUAUAUACUGUACUUAUAACUAAUAAAUACAACUAAGUCUUGACCCGGGUCCGGUGUAAAUGUAUUUACUCAUGAUUAUAAUUUGUCAACUGUGUUUUGUUUAAAUAUUAAUAAAUC